CCUACGGGAGGCAGCAGUGGGGGAUAUUGCACAAUGGGGGGAACCCUGAUGCAGCGACGCCGCGUGGGUGAAGAAGCGCCUCGGCGCGUAAAGCCCUGUCAGCAGGGAAGAAAAUGACGGUACCUGAAGAAGAAGCCCCGGCUAACUACGGGCCAGCAGCCGCGGUAAUACGUAGGGGGCAAGCGUUAUCAGGAUUUACUGGGUGGAAAGGGGGCGCAGACGGCGAUGCAAGCCAGGAGUGAAAGCCCGGGGCCCAACCCCGGGACUGCUCUUGGAACUGCGUGGCUGGAGUGCAGGAGGGGCAGGCGGAAUUCCUGGUGUAGCGGUGAAAUGCGUAGAUAUCAGGAGGAACACCGGUGGCGAAGGCGGCCUGCUGGACUGCAACUGACGUUGAGGCCCGAAAGCGUGGGGAGCAAACAGGAUUAGAUACCCCUGUAGUC
rnacentral:rRNA from 1 species